rnacentral:misc_RNA from 1 species
GUAGGUGAACCUGCGGAAGGAUCAUUAACACUUACCUGUGUAUGAAAAACACUAUAUAGAAAUAUAUAUUUGUUUUACACUCACAUGUAUUACACCAAAACCGUGCUCCCUUUUUUUCCCACACCUCUUAACCCCAAUUAUACAAAUUCAAAAGCCUAACAGAUAGUAUAAUGUGGAAACACUUAUUUAUCGGUUAAAACUAUUUAAUAGUUGUUAUACAACUGUUAACAAUGGAUAUCUUGGCUCUC